rnacentral:rRNA from 1 species
UACGUAGGGGGCAAGCGUUGUCCGGAUUCAUUGGGCGUAAAGAGCGUGUGAGGCGGGCCAGGUAGGUCGGUUGUGAAAACUGGAGGGCUCAACCUUCAGAGGUCGACCGAAACCAUCUGGCUAGGGUCCGGGAAGAGGGAGAGUGGAAGUUCCUGGUGGUAGCGGUGAAAUGCGUAGAUAUACAGGGAGGAACACCUGCGGUGUAGACGGCUUUUCUGGACCAUUGUUGACGCUGAGACACGAAAGCGUGGGUAGCAAACAGG